rnacentral:pre_miRNA from 1 species
UUUCUACUCCCUCCGUUCGAAAAUACUUGUCAUCAAAAUGGAUAAAAAGAGAUGUAUCUAAAACUAAAAUACAUCUAGAUACAUUUUCUUUUAUCCAUUUUGAUGACAAGUAUUUCCGGACGGAGGGAGUAUUUG